UACAGGGGGUGCAAACGUUGCUCGGAAUUAUUGGGCGUAAAGCGCGCGUAGGCGGCUGCUUAAGUCGGAUGUGAAAGCCCCUGGCUCAACUGGGGAAGUGCACCCGAAACUGAGCAGCUAGAGUACGAAAGAGGGUCGCGGAAUUCCCGGUGUAGAGGUGAAAUUCGUAGAUAUCGGGAGGAACACCGGUGGCGAAGGCGGCGACCUGGGUCGAUACUGACGCUGAGGCGCGAAAGCGUGGGGAGCAAACAGG
rnacentral:rRNA from 1 species